CAAAAAUAUCAUGACUUUCAUAUUAUUUAUAACCACCUGCAAAAAUAUAACUAUUGUCGUCUUGAAUUUGAAGUCAACGCUGUAGCCCUUGAAAGUUGCUCGAGACUUAAAAAUCAAAAGUUUGAUGCAGUAGUUUUUAACCAUCCUCAUCUUGGAAUUGAGGACAGUCAACUUAACGGCGCUUUAAUAUCGCACUUUUUUUACGCAAUAAAAACUUUUCUUAAACCAGAAGGUCAAAUUCAAAUAGCUUUACUGAACUCUCAAAGCGAACGCUAGGAUUUAAUUAACCCUGCUGAAUCACAGGGGUUUCUGCUACUUGACAAAAGUCCCUUUAAUAAACAUCUUUGCCAUUAUGGAUAUCAAGCCAAACGCAGUAAU